AGUGAACGCUGGCGGCAGGCCUAACACAUGCAAGUCGAACGGCAGCACAGUAAGAGCUUGCUCUUACGGGUGGCGAGUGGCGGACGGGUGAGGAAUACAUCGGAAUCUACUUUUUCGUGGGGGAUAACGUAGGGAAACUUACGCUAAUACCGCAUACGACCUACGGGUGAAAGCAGGGGAUCUUCGGACCUUGCGCGAUUGAAUGAGCCGAUGUCGGAUUAGCUAGUUGGCGGGGUAAAGGCCCACCAAGGCGACGAUCCGUAGCUGGUCUGAGAGGAUGAUCAGCCACACUGGAACUGAGACACGGUCCAGACUCCUACGGGAGGCAGCAGUGGGGAAUAUUGGACAAUGGGCGCAAGCCUGAUCCAGCCAUACCGCGUGGGUGAAGAAGGCCUUCGGGUUGUAAAGCUCUUUUGUUGGGAAAGAAAAGCAGCAGGUUAAUACCCCGCUGUUCUGACGGUACCCAAAGAAUAAGCACCGGCUAACUUCGUG
rnacentral:rRNA from 1 species